GUUUUUCUGAAUUAGAUUUUAAGCAUUUAACAUACAGUUUUUGUUGGAUUUUUAAACAUUUCUGUUUUAACAUACAGUUUUUGUUGGAUUUUUAAACAGUUUUUGUUGGAUUUUUAAACAUUUCUUAAGACCUUUAGAAAUUCAAGGAAAUAAUUCUUUGAUUUUAGAAAGCUAUUUCACCUAAGGAAAAAUUUGUAUUGUAGACUUCGACUUGAUUAUUGGUUUUCAUUUUAAACGUUGUAAAAAGUUUUAAUAGUUUAAUUUUCGUAUAUAGAUUAAAAUCUUCUAUUAGAUAACUUUUUUUUUAGACUAGUUUUUUUUUAAUAAGCUCUUUGAAAGAAGUUGCAAAAUUUUUCAGCUCUUACAUUUGGUGGCAAUAGCAACAGAUUAUUAGCAGAGACCAUUCCCAAGUAUGGCGAGUGUGAACAAGAAAAUUGCGUUGGAGAUAUCCUAAAAAGAGCACCGGAUAGUGAAGACGUCGGUGACAGUGAAAAACUAAACCUCAGUGGCAUUUUUUAAAAUAUUUUUUAGAUCUGUAAUUUGAAAUAUGUUUUAAUCUUGUGAAUACUUUUAA